rnacentral:rRNA from 1 species
UUUCCUACGGGGGGCAGCAGUGGGGGAUAUUGCACAAUGGGGGGAACCCUGAUGCAGCGACGCCGCGUGGGUGAAGAAGCGCCUCGGCGCGUAAAGCCCUGUCAGCAGGGAAGAAAAUGACGGUACCUGAAGAAGAAGCCCCGGCUAACUACGUGCCAGCAGCCGCGGUAAUACGGAGGAUGCGAGCGUUAUCCGGAUUUAUUGGGUUUAAAGGGUGCGCAGGCGGCGUGUCAAGUCAGCGGUAAAAUGUCGGGGCUCAACCCCGGCCGGCCGUUGAAACUGGCGUGCUCGAGUUGGAGAGAAGG